rnacentral:rRNA from 1 species
AGUGAACGCUGGCGGUAGGCCUAACACAUGCAAGUCGAACGGCAGCACAGUAAGAGCUUGCUCUUACGGGUGACGAGUGGCGGACGGGUGAGGAAUACAUCGGAAUCUACUUUUUCGUGGGGGAUAACGUAGGGAAACUUACGCUAAUACCGCAUACGACCUACGGGUGAAAGCAGGGGAUCUUCGGACCUUGCGCGAUUGAAUGAGCCGAUGUCGGAUUAGCUAGUUGGCGGGGUAAAGGCCCACCAAGGCGACGAUCCGUAGCUGGUCUGAGAGGAUGAUCAGCCACACUGGAACUGAGACACGGUCCAGACUCCUACGGGAGGCAGCAGUGGGGAAUAUUGGACAAUGGGCGCAAGCCUGAUCCAGCCAUACCGCGUGGGUGAAGAAGGCCUUCGGGUUGUAAAGCCCUUUUGUUGGGAAAGAAAAGCAGCAGGUUAAUACCCCGCUGUCCUGACGGUACCCAAAGAAUAAGCACCGGCUAACUUCGUG